CUCGGAGAUCGGCGCGGACGGAGUCCUCGCCAACCUGGUCAGGGCCGAGAGGCAGCAGCCACAACGAGAUCAGCUUUGGGUCGCUGUCGGUCUCCACCCUU
rnacentral:SRP_RNA from 1 species